GACGAACGCUGGCGGCGUGCCUAAUACAUGCAAGUCGAACGAAGCUGUUUUAACUGGUGCUUGCACCGACUUAAACAACUGAGUGGCGAACGGGUGAGUAACACGUGGGUAACCUGCCCCAAAGCGGGGGAUAACAUUUGGAAACAGAUGCUAAUACCGCAUAACCACAGAAACCACAGGGUUUCUGUGUCAAAGAUGGUUUCGGCUAUCACUUUGGGAUGGACCCGCGGCGUAUUAGCUAGUUGGUAAGGUAAGGGCUUACCAAGGCAAUGAUACGUAGCCGAACUGAGAGGUUGAUCGGCCACAUUGGGACUGAGACACGGCCCAAACUCCUACGGGAGGCAGCAGUAGGGAAUCUUCCACAAUGGACGAAAGUCUGAUGGAGCAACGCCGCGUGAGUGAAGAGGUUUUCGGAUCGUAAAACUCUGUUGUCAGAGAAGAACGUGUGCGAGAGUAACUGCUCGUGCAGUGACGGUAUCUGGCCAGAAAGCCACGGCUAACUACGUGCCAGCAGCCGCCGUAA
rnacentral:rRNA from 1 species